rnacentral:rRNA from 1 species
GACGAACGCUGGCGGCGUGCCUAAUACAUGCAAGUAGAACGCACAGUUUAUACCGUAGCUUGCUACACCAUAGACUGUGAGUUGCGAACGGGUGAGUAACGCGUAGGUAACCUGCCUGGUAGCGGGGGAUAACUAUUGGAAACGAUAGCUAAUACCGCAUAAUAUUGAUUAUUGCAUGAUAAUUAAUUGAAAGGUGCAAUUGCACCACUACCAGAUGGACCUGCGUUGUAUUAGCUAGUAGGUGAGGUAACGGCUCACCUAGGCGACGAUACAUAGCCGACCUGAGAGGGUGAUCGGCCACACUGGGACUGAGACACGGCCCAGACUCCUACGGGAGGCAGCAGUAGGGAAUCUUCGGCAAUAGACGAAAGUCUGACCGAGCAACGCCGCGGGAGUGAAGAAGGUUUUCGGAUCGUAAAGCUCUGUUGUAAGAGAAGAACGGGUGUGAGAGUGGAAAGUUCACACUGUGACGGUAUCUUACCAGAAAGGGACGGCUAACUACGUG